rnacentral:rRNA from 1 species
UGGGGAAUUUUGCGCAAUGGGCGAAAGCCUGACGCAGCAACGCCGCGUGGGUGAUGAAGGUCUUCGGAUCGUAAAACCCUGUCGUCAGGGACGAAGGUUGUAUGUCUAAUAGAUGUGCAACUUGACGGUACCUGGAGAGGAAGCCCCGGCUAACUCUGUGCCAGCAGCCGCGGUAAUACAGAGGGGGCAAGCGUUAUUCGGAAUUAUUGGGCGUAAAGGGCGCGUAGGCGGUGGUUUAAGUGAGAUGUGUAAUCCCCGAGCUUAACUUGGGAACUGCAUCUCAGACUGGAUCGCUAGAGUGCUGGAGAGGGUGGUGGAAUUCCACGUGUAGCGGUGAAAUGCGUAGAGAUGUGGAGGAACACCAGUGGCGAAGGCGGCCACCUGGACAGUAACUGACGCUGAGGCGCGAAAGUGUGGGGAGCAAACA